rnacentral:sRNA from 1 species
GCUGGGCGUGGUGGUGCAUACCUGUAAUCCCCAGCUUGGGAGGCUGAGGCAGGAGACUUGCAAGUUCAAAUCCAGUCUCAGCAACAGCAAGGUGCUAAACAAAUCAUCGAGACCCUGUCUCUA